GACGAACGCUGGCGGCGCGCCUAACACAUGCAAGUCGAACGGAGUCACGAGGAGCUUGCUUUUCUUGACUUAGUGGCGAACGGGUGAGUAACGCGUGAGUAACCUGCCCUGGAGUGGGGGACAACAGUUGGAAACGACUGCUAAUACCGCAUAAGCCCACGGAUCCGCAUGGAUCUGCGGGAAAAGGAUUUAUUCGCUUCAGGAUGGACUCGCGUCCAAUUAGCUAGUUGGUGAGGUAACGGCCCACCAAGGCGACGAUUGGUAGCCGGACUGAGAGGUUGAACGGCCACAUUGGGACUGAGACACGGCCCAGACUCCUACGGGAGGCAGCAGUGGGGGAUAUUGCACAAUGGGGGAAACCCUGAUGCAGCGACGCCGCGUGGAGGAAGAAGGUUUUCGGAUUGUAAACUCCUGUCGUGAGGGACGAUAAUGACGGUACCUAACAAGAAAACACCGGCUAACUACGUG
rnacentral:rRNA from 1 species